rnacentral:lncRNA from 1 species
GAGGGGAGCGAGGAUGGGCAGAGGUAAAGAGUGACUAUAUCAAAACGAGGACACCCCCUAUUGUGCCUUUUUGCUUAAAUCUUUAGAUACUUCGGCUGAGAACAUGUGCGUGUGCAUCGCACCAGGUUGAACAGCUGUGAGUUUGUUGCGCACAGCCAGCUGCAGUCAUGUAUUUUUCAUGGACCGUGUGGGGCUGUCAACCUGCAGCCGAGCUUGGGUUAGGUUUUGAAUCCCGGUCAGCAACACUGAAUCCUAGCCCUUCGUCCGUUCUCCUCGCCAGCUUACUACUUCAGCAAGAAUUAUUUUCAAAAGUCGAGUUGUAAGCCAAACAAGAAGAAUGUGGGAUCUGACAAGCUGCAUUCACAAAGGUGGCCGUGACAGUGGCCGGAUGAGGGUCUCCAGGGUGUGCGGCUCAGCCCACUGGACUUGAUCUGGGCUGGUUUUGAUUACAGGUGAAUUUCCCUCCCUGGCUGCCAAUGUGUAGUUUUGGAUACUGUGGCAAAUUAAACAGGUUUACACGGCAGAUAGUGACACGGGGGGUUCAUCUCCGUCGAUAAUAAUGCAAAAUGACAGCCAGAAGCAAAGAGGGAUCCUUGUCACAACUACUGACAGGAUGUGUGAUCUGAGGAGGAAUAAGGCACGUGUGUGAAGUCUACAUUCUGCUAGUUGUGACUUAAGAAAUGCAACAAUUGCUGACAACAAUGACUUUGAAUUUAUUGAAAUUUUAUCUACAGAUUCUCUUAUUGGUGAGGUGCAGAAUGCCAUAUUUCCUUCCAGAGCAUUUUAAAUUUGGAUAUGUGUAUUAUCAAAGCUCCAUUGAAAUAGUUCCGUGUACUAAGAAAAGAGGAACAAGACGGUUUUGAUCUUUCAGCGACAUCGAUGGAACCACUUCAGCAUUUGUUGGAGCCUGGAUGUUCCCCUUUUUUAAUUUCAUCAGACCAAAAUUGUUACAAAACGUCCUCCUGUGAAAGAAUAUUCCAUUUUAAUCAUGAUUUCUCUUCAGAAAAAGAAACGUAAACAUGUCAACGCGACACUUGAAGACCACAAUGUGUCUUCCUAAUACAAUAAUAGCCAUGGCUUUAUGAACCAUCUGAUGAAACAGCCAAAGGAGAAAUUAGAUCAUUUGGCUCCGCUCGCUGAAUAUGAUGAAUCUCCCCUUGGUGAAGAUGGCUGGGAACAGGCCGAAAUGAUUAAUGCGAGAGCUUGAUGGGGUAAAAACUGCUUAAUGUAAGAGCGCAAUAUGGCAUGCAAACCAAACAAAAGCAACCAUAAAUAUUUUAGGCACCUUAUAAAGAUUUAAGAAUGUUUAUUCCACUUCUAAAUCCUUCAUGUAAUAUCAGCAAAAGCCCAGAGCCCAGAGAGCCUGGAGCACAACGCAGUAGAUGAGGCUGCGUGCCUUCUCCUUUCUGGUGGCAUUUUCCUGUGAUGAUUAAACCACAUUAGUUGGCUACCUGCUUCCAGAACGAGGUGAAACUCCCAGGUGCCAAUCUUUGGUCACAGCUUGGUCACACUUCCUGCUCCAAGAAAUGUGAUCUCGAAAGCUUUGUAACAAGGAAGGCGGUUGGGGCCAGAGGACCCCCUUGGUGGUUUUCUCUCACAUCUUGUCUUCUACACUCGUGCUAACCAGAGUGUGGCCUCUGCUGGCCGCAGCGGUAUAGCCUGGAUGCUUGUGAGGAAUGUGGAACCCCAGGCUCCAGCCCAGACCUACUGAAUCAGCGGUGACGUUUUACCAAAAUCCUCAGGUGAUUUGCAUGCACAUGACAGUUUGAGAAACCCUGGAUUACACUACCAUGCCUCUCACAUCUCCCAUUCCUGCCUCUAUCCCCAACUCCAGGCAGCUCCCUAAAGGGUGGUUAAAAGUGUAGUGAGUGGGCCAGCCUGGUGGCACAGUGGUUAAGUUCACACAUUCCACUUUGGUGGCCUGGGGUUUGCUAGUUCGGAUCCCGAGUGCGGACAUACCCACUGCUUGUCAAGCCAUGCUGUGGCAGGCGUCCCACAUAGAAAGUAGAGGAAGAUGGGCAUGGAUGUUAUAGUUCAGGGCCAGUCUUCCUUAGCAGAAAGAGGAGGAUUGGCAGUAGAUGUUAGCUCAGGGCUAAUCUUCCUCAAGGAAAAAAAAAAAAGCUGUACUGAAUGAGAGAGUAGAUUUGCCACUGAUAAGUUGUAUGAUCUUAGAAACCUUACUUAGCCUCACUGAGUCUCAGUUUUCUCAUUUGAAAAUAAGGAGAAUUAAUAGUACCCAUUUUAAGGAGAUGAUAAAAGGAUUAAAUAAGAUAAUGUAUUCAAAAAGCUCACAAUGAGAUGCCUGGUACAUAGUAAGUGCUCAAUCAAUGGUAAAAAUUUGGGGUGAUACAAAGGCACGGAUGAGACCAAUAUCAAUUUUGCUACAGAAUUUUUACAAAACUGUUACAAAGUAUUUUCUCAAUUUCCUUAUCUAUUUAAUAGGGUCAAUAAUGAUCUAUAACACAGAGAUGGGGAAAGUAGAAAAAGAACACGCUCGGAAGUUGGGAUAAGAGCUGGUUGGUUACCAGAGGAGAGAAAUAACCAUAAUAAAAGUACAAUUCUGGAUUCA